rnacentral:rRNA from 1 species
CAGUCGCCGCGGGAAUACAGAGGGUGCGAGCGUUAAUCGGAUUUACUGGGCGUAAAGCGUGCGUAGGCGGCUAAUUGAGUCGGAUGUGAAAUCCCCGAGCUUAACUUGGGAAUUGCAUUCGAUGCUGGUUAGCUAGAGUGUGGGAGAGGAUGGUAGAAUUCCAGGUGUAGCGGUGAAAUGCGUAGAGAUCUGGAGGAAUACCGAUGGCGAAGGCAGCCAUCUGGCCUAACACUGACGCUGAGGUACGAAAGCAUGGGGAGCAAACAGGAUUAGAGACCCCCGUAGUCCCUGUCUCUUAUAC